UGGGAUAACACCUGGAAACAGAUGCUAAUACCGGAUAACAACACUAGACGCAUGUCUAGAGUUUGAAAGAUGGUUCUGCUAUCACUCUUGGAUGGACCUGCGGUGCAUUAGCUAGUUGGUAAGGUAACGGCUUACCAAGGCAAUGAUGCAUAGCCGAGUUGAGAGACUGAUCGGCCACAUUGGGACUGAGACACGGCCCAAACUCCUACGGGAGGCAGCAGUAGGGAAUCUUCCACAAUGGACGAAAGUCUGAUGGAGCAACGCCGCGUGAGUGAAGAAGGGUUUCGGCUCGUAAAGCUCUGUUGGUAGUGAAGAAAGAUAGAGGUAGUAACUGGCCUUUAUUUGACGGUAAUUACUUAGAAAGUCACGGCUAACUACGUGCCAGCAGCCGCGGUAAUACGUAGGUGGCAAGCGUUGUCCGGAUUUAUUGGGCGUAAAGCGAGUGCAGGCGGUUCAAUAAGUCUGAUGUGAAAGCCUUCGGCUCAACCGGAGAAUUGCAUCAGAAACUGUUGAACUUGAGUGCAGAAGAGGAGAGUGGAACUCCAUGUGUAGCGGUGGAAUGCGUAGAUAUAUGGAAGAACACCAGUGGCGAAGGCGGCUCUCUGGUCUGCAACUGACGCUGAGGCUCGAAAGCAUGGGUAGCGAACAAGAUUAGAUACCCUGGUAGUCCAUGCCGUAAACGACCC
rnacentral:rRNA from 1 species